AAGCAAUGUGUUCUUCUUCUUUCCCCUUUACCGUGACACUACAACGACGACGACGACGACGACGACCACCACUAUCCUCUCGGUAGUCGAUAGUGCUAGGUCGUCGUAAAGAGGAGGGAGCGGCUAGAGGACGAGAUCGAAUGAGAGAGCGAGCGCGAGAGAUAGAUGAUAAACGUAGACUUAAAAGUAUUUCUUUUCGUUAUCAUCGAAUAUAGAGAAAAAAUUUGUACGUACGAAAAAUACAUGUCCGAACGCAUUGCACACUUAUAUUAGCUACGAAUAUUUUGUACGAAUCGAUACGCCCUCCGGCGGGCAUUUGUUAUGCCACGGAACGCACGCCGGAAAUGGUGCUCGUAUCUACCGUACGUACGGUAUAUACGUUGUACACGAAUCGGUCGACGCGUUCUGCCGUGUUGAGUGCAACUGUGUUCUUUUUCUAUCUCUCGUUUCUCGAGUUUGCUUCGUCUUUCACCUUCGCAGUACUAGGUGCCCUGUCUUGAUCGGCCCUACACGGAAAAUCGAGGCUGCGCGAGAUCUCUUCGUUUCUUCUCCUCUUCUUCAUCAUCAUCAUCUUCUUCUUCUUCUUCUUCUUCUUCUUCUUCUUCUUCUUCUUCUAUUUCUUCUUCUUCUCUUUCUCUUUGUCAUCGUUGUGUCGUCGUCGUCGUCCGUUGUGGCGUCUCAUUGUCAUUAUCAUAUACACGUCGAUUCAUCGAGAGAAAGACGAUACUUUAUCGUCGUCCGGACGUACCACACGUUCUUAUUUAAAAACAAAUCCGGACGUGCUUUUACGUCUCUCUGUAUUUUCUUCAUCUCUUAGAAUUUAUUAUCAACGAAGCAACGACUAACUUUUAUCUUGUUUCUUUUCUUUUUCCUGAUUGAAAUCAACGAAACACGCAAUACCAUUUUUAAUACAUCUUUCCCGUUCUCUUUGUUUCUUAGGAAAUAAAAAGAGACCAUUGUCCUUCUUAAUUGUUUUUAAUAAAUUAUUAUUUAUUUCUUUUUCUUUUCUUUUCUUUUUUCUCGCAUAUGUAUCGCGCGUAUAUAUGUAUGUCGUUUUACUAUCGAUUUCGACGACGACGAUAUCAGAUCAGAAAAGACGAUGAAAUAUUUGAAAGAUCGAACGAAUGAGAAACAUUACGGCCCUGUCGUAUUUUUUUUCCUUUCUUUUCUUUUUUUCUUUUUUUUAUUAUACGUAUAAAUAAGUUUAUUGUACUUACAAAAUUCGUUCCUUCCAGGUAUAGUUCGUUAUAAAUCAUCGCUACCCUUACGAAAUAUUAUUAAUCUUUUACGUAUUUAUGAUGACCAUAAAUUUUCAAUUGAGAAUCAUUUAUUUCCGACAUGUUUUUAAAAACCUUCUAAAAAUAGACUACAAUAGAUAGAAUCUUUCAAAAAAUUCAGAAAGAAAAUUUAUAUUAGCAUUUUGAGAAUCGUUUGAAUUGAAAUUAGAGUAACAGAUUUAAGCAAUCUUUUUUUUUUUUUGUUAAUUUAUUAUUAUUAUUUUUUUUUAUAUAUAUUAUUAAUACUGAUUCAAUUUUUCAAAAUUACUAGGACACGAAAAAUCUCGAUUUAUGGAUUAAGUAUUACUAACACGUAAUGUUAGUUAUUUAAAUUCAAGGUUUCGCUGAUAUCGGUACAAGUUUGUAAAUGACUGAGGUAUGAGUAAAUAAAUACGAUAUCUAUUUUCUUUUGUAUCAUCUGAUCGCCGGUGGUCCUCCAAAGUACCACCGAUAAAUUUCUAUCGGCCGUGUUACAAUCGAUCUCGUAUGUAUGUAUAUAUACGUUAUGUGUAUAUAUAUGUGUACACACACAUAUAUAUAUAUAGAAUGUAUAUAUAAUACACAACACACAUAUCUACAUGCGUUUCGUUAACAAGAAAUCAAGAGAAAACAAAGUAGAUCGACUUUGAUCGUUCGACGACAGGAGGAUAGGUGAAAUAAAGCAACUUUGUGGUCUUCUCGAAGUAGACGAAGGUCGCUUGGUAAUUGUAAAAUGCAUAGAGGGACUUAAAUAUUCUCUGGCAUACAUAAAGAGAACACUUUAAACAAAAGAGCCAUACGUUCGCGUUCCCUCCCCCUCCCUCCCACCCUCUCUCUCUCUCUCUCUGUAUGUGUGUAUACAUGCAUGUGUCGGCGUACCUACGUUUUGUCUUUAUUUCUCUCUUUCUCACACACAUCAUGCACAUACACAUACGUAUACACAUACAUACGUUGCACAUCACACACCGGUAUCCUCCAUCGUUUCCUUUGUCAGAGGAAAUACAUGGACGAUUCAUGGUGUGCCCGUCCGGCCAUACAACCAGAGAAAUGCGAUACUGUCUCGAUAAACAAUGAUAUCCUUUUCUUCUUCCUCCUUCUUCUUCUUCUUCUUCUUCUUCUUCUUCUUCUUCUUCUUCUUCUUCUACUUCUUCGUUUUUGUUUUUUGUUUUGUUUUUAUUUCGUUUUCUCUUUUUUUUAUUUAUUUAUUUUUUUUUAUUUUCUUAUCACCGUGUAGUAAUAAGUACAUCGACUUUACAUUUUUCCUUCUAUUCUUCAAAACCUCUAAGCACAUACGUACGCGAUAGCGGAGUUCGGAGAGUCUUUGAAGAUUUUUGAAAAAUCCUUGAAACUCUUCAACGUAUAUUAUUGUUCGUCGUUCGAGCCUUCGUCUACUACCUCUUAUCACGCGAGCCGGUAAUUUUUUGUACUAUAGGUUAUUGCAUAUUAAAUGUCGGUCAUAUUUUCUUUUCCUUCGAUAUAAUUUUGAAAAAGAAUUUAUUUGAUUAACAAUGAUAAUGAUUUUUACUUCUGUUUAUAUACUCUGUUUAUUUGUUAAUUGAAGAAAAAUUUGUCCUUUUUUUUUUCUUCACGAAAGAAAUACCUACGAUAGAGAUGACCUAACGGAACGAUAGAAAUUUUGUUUGCCUUUAUGAUUUUGCCUAGAGAAAGCAAAAGGUACCUUCGUCGUCCUCGUCGGACCACCUAUUUUUUUUUUUGUUUUUAUUAUUAUUACUACGUACACUGGAAGAACGUAAAGAUCGUGUGCAGCGAGGGUUACAAUAACGUUGGAACUUACAACUGGCAUGGUUCGCGUGCUUUUGCCGGACGCAGCUGCCUUGAACGGUGGGAAAGAUAGGAUCUUACGAUUUUGUCGCGAACUUGCCAUGGCAGUCAGCUUUUUUUUUUCUUUUUUUUUGUUUCUUUCUUUUUUCCCCUUUCGGACUCGUGCUCGAGUAAAGAAAAUUAUUAAGUAUUCCACUGACAUUAGAGUUGUUAGAAAAUUGUUUUUCUUUUCUUUUUAUCUUUUACUUUUAUUUUCAAUCUUCCAAAGGUACGUGAUCUUAAACAUAUUAAUUAGAGCGAUCGAUGAUCGAGAUCUCCAAAUACUGAAUAUUUUCGAUAAAAAAUCAUCGACCGGUGAGAGAGUAGAAAAUUUCAUUUGCAUUAAACUUUCACACACACACAUACACACAUGAACAUAUUUCUUGUAUCUUCUUUAAGAUUAUAAAGACGAACAUUUACGAUAAGAUAGACUAUAGAAACUUGGCCGCAUUUGCGCCUCGAGGAGAAGCUUGUAGCGAGAGAACACGCUUGGGAAGGUAAGAUAGUAUGGCAUAUGUGAACGUCUUAUGGUGGCAGGCAGGUGGUAUGGCUCGAAUAAGCCUGGACAGGUCCACCUGGGUUUUUAAGGAAGUAUAUAUGCUUUAGGUAUCUCCCGUCAUAAAAACGGUACCUUUUUGUUUGAUAUAUCCUUUCUUACAAAAGGUUCAAAGACCAUAAACCAACCAUUUAUAUUUAUUAUAUUAUAUUUUUUUCCCUGAACAAUUUUCUAACGAAUAACGUUUCGAUUUUCUGACUUAGUCAAUUUGUUCACUUACCUGCGUGUCCCGACUUACCGAUUGUUUGCUUGUUUAUUUGGUUUUCCUUUUUCUUCUAUCUUUUCUUUAUUUCCUCUUACCCAUCAAUAUUAUUAUCGUCAUCGCCAUUGUCAUCUAUGGUUAUUUUCCUACGUAGUUAAGUUAUGCCUCUCCUUCGAAAUUCUCGACCGUCCUCUUUUUCUCAUCAUUUUUAUGUCUGUCUUUGUUUCUUUCAUAUCCCAAAAACACAAUAGCGUCGACGUGACCAUGAGCACGUUUUCGAUUGGAACGUUAAACGAAUGUUCCAAUGCCCGCAUAGUCGUAUAAUAUGUUAGUUGUACAAUUCUUUUAUUUCCCAUCGAUACUCGGUACUUUAUAAUUUAUUAUAGUACUACACACGCAUAUUUUUUUUUUUUUGAAAUGUUAAAUCGUCCUAGAUUUUUGAUAAGAGUAUGAAGAAAAAAAAAUUAGUUGGAUUUUCCUGAAAAUUCCAGCACUUCUUUUACAAAUACGCUUGUAUUUUCUCGGGAAAAUUUAAAGCGUAAUCUCUCAUGGACUUACAUUCGGCAUUCGUCGAAACCUUACGAAAUUUUAUGUGCAAUGGGAACGCGCUGUUUAAAAAUUCGCUUGGUAAUCUCUUUCCACUUUAUACAGAACGGCUCGGCGAGUACUCAUUAAAAAAUACUCACGCGCCCAGACGAAAUUCAACCAUCGGGAAAAAGAGGAAGGAAAAUCGGAAUUAUGGUCAAGUGUUUAGAAUUUCGUGUAACACAUGCGCGACAUAUUUACGACGUGCCAAGAAAUAAAGCUGAAAGAAAAGGCAAAAGAAGGAAACAAAUAAAAAGAGUUAACGUUACUGAAAUCCCAAAGGGAAACUGUCAGUAGUAUAUAAUUGCGAAUUUGAAUUUUCUACUUUGUCUAGUUUUAUAAUUUAUGUUCAAGAACGAUGUACUCGCAUGAAUCCACGUGAACGCGAAGUUUGAUGGUAUAUCAAACUUUAUUAAAAUCAAAAUACGAAAAAGAAAGAAAAAAAAAAAACAAUAAAGAAAGAAAGAAAGAAAGAAAGAAAGAGAAACUGAAAGUUAUAGGAAAAAAGUAGAAACAAAAAAAAAGGAAAAAAACAGAAAAGGAAAAGAAAAAGGAAAAGAAGAGGGAAAACUCUUUAUAUGUAUAUCUCUCUAUAUGUGUAACACCUCAUACACGCACAUAGUCAUCUUAUAGUCGAGUACAACUGGAAAGCUCGAUGGAAAUCAUGUAUUAUGGAAACUGGGAAAGUCCAGUGGAUUGUAGGAACGCAGCUUGCUGCUGUUGCUGGCCGAUAGACCAAGCCAACCACGAUAGACCGACACGCAAAAGAAGGUGCACAGACGUUUCUCGCCAGGUGUAAAGGCUUUCUGCUCGACGAAACUCUUUUCAUACAAGACCUUUUUCGAACGGAUGUAUAUACCUGGACGAUGAUGUCUGCUGCGUGUGUAUUUUAUAUAAGGAUGGUGUAUGUCUGUCUCUUUCUCUUUCUCUCUCUGUGUGUAUGUGUAUGUGUGUGUAGGAGCAUAUGUGUGCACAACGAAGAGGAAGACGAAGGAAAAAAGAGAGGAAGAAGAGAUGGAGGAGGAGGAGGAGGAGGAGGAGGAGUCUGUCUCCCUUUCUCUCUUUCUUUCUCUCGAUCUCUCUUUCUCUCUCUAGAGGGCUGCCUACAAUAUCCAUCAUUAUUCAACGAAGGGAAUGUGGGGGAUGGCACUCUCUAUAAUUCGCUGCGCCGGUAUGCGGGCACGGCAAUAUGGUAGAGAAGGAGAGAAGGAAGGGAGGAGAGAGAGAGAGAGAGAGAGAGAGAGAGAGAGAGAGAGAGAGAGAGAGAGAGAGAGAUGUGCUCGUGGAAAUUCUCGUUGAAACGCGUAGCAGAGGCGAUUUGAAAAAUUUACCGAGGUACGGGAAAAUUCAAAACUAUAACUAUAUACGUGUAUUAUAUAGGGAACAAUGUCGAUCUUUCGUCAGAUAAAUAAUCGUUCCGACUUACGGAACGUCGAUCGCUACUACCUCCCAACGAGCAAAUUGUGUAAUUGGUGGGGUCGAUUAGUAUAUUAUGAAAUCGAUUGCAGUAGAACUAAUCAUACGAUUAUGUUUGUUGCAUCGUUGCUUUCGCAGACAAGCGACGAAAUUGGAACAAUCAAAAUGGACGUAUCGUUUUCUUUUACGAUCCCACGAUUAUUAUCGGCAACAUAUUUUAAAUAUUAUAAUAUUCUUCUAUAUAUGUAAUUAUUAUAUAUAACAGUUAUGUAAAUUGAUCACAAAGAAAUGAAUAUUUAUAAAAUUAUUCGAUAUUUCCGAUGA